AGUCUUAAAGCUUGCCCUACCCCCUAAAAUAAACUUAACAUUAUAAAUAAACCCUAAAGCACCAACCACUUUAUAAACAAACCAUUUUUCCCUCCAAGUAUAGGAGAUAGAAAAGAGACAUCGGCGCAAUAAAGAAAGUACCGCAAGGGAAAGCUGAAAGAGAAAUGAAAUAAUUCGUAAAAACCUGAAGAAGCAGAGGCUAGCCCUCGUACCUUUUGCAUCAUGAUUUAGCCAGCAAAAUUUAAGCAAAGAGUACUUUAGUUUAAAACCCCGAAACUAAGUGAGCUACUUCAGGACAGCCUAUAGUAAGGGCGCACCCUUCUCUGUGGCAAAAGAGUGGGAAGAUCUUCGAGUAGCGGUGACAGACCUAUCGAACUUAGUUAUAGCUGGUUGCUUGGAAAAUGGAUAGAAGUUCAGCCUUCUUGAUUCUUCCCUCCCCUGGGCACUUAUCCAUCACCCGUCACUUAAGAAACAAGAAGAGUUAGUCAAGGGGGGUACAGCCCCUUUGAAAAAGGACACAACCUUCCCAGGAGGCUACAGAUCACAAAAAAUAAGGUAUUUCUCUAGGUGGGCUUAAAAGCAGCCAUCCUUUACGAAAAGCGUUCAAGCUUAGAUACUUAAAACCCUAAUCCUACAAUUCUGAUAACAAAAUCUCAACCCCUAAUUAUACCAAGCUAUCCCAUGCCUAUCCAUGGGAGCAAUCCUGCUAAUAUGAGUAAUAAGAGGGCUUAAGGCCCUCUCCACAGCGCAAGUGUACAUCGGAACGAACCCCCACCGAAAAUUAACGGCCCCAAUAAGCAGAGGGCACUGGAAAAUUAUUAACACAACCUAGAAAAACCUCCAGUAACACAACCGUUGACCCCACACUGGCGUGCCUAAAGGGAAAGGCUAAAAAAGAAAGAAGGAACUCGGCAAACACCUAAAGCCUCGACUGUUUACCAAAAACAUUGCCUCUUGCAAAAUUAACGAAUAAGAGGUAACGCCUGCCCGGUGACUAUAUGUUUAACGGCCGCGGUAUUUUGACCGUGCAAAGGUAGCGCAAUCACUUGUCUUUUAAAUGGAGACCUGUAUGAAUGGCAUCACGAGGGCUUAACUGUCUCCUUUCUUAGGCCAAUGAAAUUGAUCUCCCCGUGCAGAAGCGGGGAUAAAAACAUAAGACGAGAAGACCCUAUGGAGCUUUAGACACUAAGACAGCUUACGUCAAAACACCCUAAACACAGGAACGAACUAAAUAUGACCCUGUCCUAAUGUCUUUGGUUGGGGCGACCCUGGGAAAAUAAAUAACCCCCAUGCGGACCGGAAACAUUGUUUCCAGAACCAAGAGCCACCGCUCUAAGAAGCAGAACUUCUGACCAACUAGAUCCGGCAAAGCCGAUCAACGGACCGAGUUACCCUAGGGAUAACAGCGCAAUCCUCUUACAGAGACCCUAUCGCCAAGAGGGUUUACGACCUCGAUGUUGGAUCAGGACAUCCCAAUGGUGCAGCCGCUAUUAAGGGUUCGUUUGUUCAACGAUUAAAGUCCUACGUGAUCUGAGUUCAGACCGGAGUAAUCCAGGUCAGUUUCUAUCUAUGAUAUGCUCUUCUCUAGUACGAAAGGACCGAGAAGGAGAGGCCAAUACUUAAAGUACGCCUCACCCCUACCUGAUGAGACCAACUAAAAAAGCAAAAGGGCAUAAAUCCAAGCCCAAGAUCAUGGCAU
rnacentral:rRNA from 1 species